rnacentral:sRNA from 1 species
UCCUCUGACUUUGGAAAUCAGAUUCUGGUAAAACUCAGCUGCUUUUGACAGAAACAACUUGAAUGCUUUCAUAUGCUUGGCAUGAUCAUUUGUUUUAAGGCCUUUACGAAACUCAUCGAUGUGUUUAUAGUGGAGUU